rnacentral:rRNA from 1 species
CUUCGGUCCGGGGUUUGGACACCAACAUGGUGACCGAACGGUGUGUGAGUCGACUGGAAAGUCGAACCAAAGAAGGUGACAGUCCUGUAGCACACCCGAAGGAAUCCUAGGUGCACCAGAGUAGCACGGUGCUCGUGGAACUCCGUGUGAACGUGGGGGGUCCACCCUCCAAGGCUAAAUACUCCUCAACGACCAAUAGUGAACCAGUAAGGUGACUGAAUGAUGAAAAGUACCCCGAUAAGGGGAGUGAAAAGUACCUGAAACCGCAUGCUUACAAGCUGUGGGAGCCCGUUUCGGCGGGUGACCGCGUGCCUUUUGCAUAAUGAGCCGACGAGUUACUUUCUGUGGCAAGGUUAAGCUGUAUCCCAGCGGAGCCGAAGGGAAACCGAGUCUGAACAGGGCGCACAGUCGCAGGGGGUAGACGCGAAACCGGGUGAUCUACCCAUGGGCAGGUUGAAGGAGGGGUAAGACCCUUUGGAGGACCGAACACACCUACGUUGAAAAGUGGGGUGAUGACCUGUGGGGAGGAGUUAAAGUCUAAUCAAACCCGGAGAUAUCUCGUUCUCCUCGAAAUAGCUUUAGGGCUAGCCUCUCGUUACAGCGAUCGGGGGUAGAGCUACUGGAUGGGGCUGGGGGGCUCACCGCCUACCCACUCUAACCAAACUCCGAAUACCGAACGCCUUUGUCGAGGGAGUCAGUCCAUGGGAGAUAAUUUCCAUGGUCGAAAGGGAAACAGCCCAGACCGCCGGUUAAGGUCCCUGAACAUGUCUAAGUUUCUAAGGAAGUCGGAUUGCACUGACAGCCAGGAUGUUGGCUUAGAAGCAGCCACCAUUUAAAGAGUGCGUAACAGCUCACUGGUCGAGGAAUCCGGUGCCGAUAAUGAUCGGGAAUAAGACAUGUACCGAAACCGCGGACUCGUAAGAGUGGUAGAGGAGCGUUCCUAUCAGCGCAGAAGCGUUUCCGUAAGGAUGCGUGGAGCGGUAGGAAGUGAAUAUGUCGGCUUGAGUAACGAUAAAUGGAGUGAGAAUCUCCAUCGCCGAAAACCUAAGGUUUCCUGGGGAAGGUAAAUCCGCCCAGGGUUAGGCGGGACCUAAGGCGAGGCCGAAAGGCGUAGUCGAUGGACAGCAGGUCAACAUUCCUGCCCCGUCAUGUAAGGUUGAUCCAGCGCGACGGAUCAUGAAGCUUUGUGGGACAGUGAAGCGUCCAGGCCCUUGAGGCCGAUGCAAGGUGGAUUGGUUCCAAGAAAAACCGUCUGGUGACGAACAUGACGCCCGUACUAAAACUGACACAGGUAGGUGUGGCGAAAAGCCUCAGGCGCUCGAGAGAACCGUUGUGAAGGAACUAGGCAAAUUGACCCCGUACGUUCGCAAUAAGGGGGCCCUCCUGGAAACAGAGGGCGCAGAGAAAAGGCUCUGGCGACUGUUUAUCAAAAACACAGCACUGUGCGAACACGCAAGUGGACGUAUACAGUGUGACGCCUGCUCGGUGCCGGAAUGUUAAGGAAGUGGGUUAGCUUCGGCGAAGCUCAUGACUGAAGCACCGGUAAACAGCGGCCGUAACUAUGACGGUCCUAAGGUAGCGAAGUUCCUUGUCGGGUAAGUUCCGACGUGCAUGAAUGGCGUAACGACUGGAGCACUGUCUCCACAACGGACUCGGUGAAAUAGUAGUGGCGGUGAAGAUGCCGCCUACCCGCAGCAAGACGGAAAGACCCCGUGGACCUUUACUGCAGGCAUAUAUUGGUCAUGGAUUGGUACUGUGUAGGAUAGGUGGGAGACGUUGAAGCCAUCAUUCCGGUGAUGGUGGAGUCAUCCUUGAAAUACCACCCUGUGUUGAUUUGUGGCCUAACCCCGAUACCCAUGAAGCUGGGCGGGGGACCAUGUAUGCUGGGCGGUUUGACUGGGGCGGUCUCCUCCUAAAAGGUAACGGAGGAGCGCAAAGGUUAGCUCAGCGCGGUUGGAAACCGCGUGUCGAGUGUAAGAGCACAAGCUAGCUUUACUGCAAGACAUACAGGUCGAGCAGUUACGAAAGUAGGCUCUAGUGAUCCUGCGAUCCCGUGUGGAAGGGUCGUAGCUCAUCGGAUAA